GCCCUCUGCCUCCUCAACCUCCAGGCUGCCUGAGCUGCUGCUCCUCCGCGACCCGCAGGUCACGGAGAGGGGAUUCCUGGGGUGCAGCGCAGGAUUUGCCCUUUCAGUGCUUGCCCCAGGCCUCUCCUGGCCGCCAUCCUCGAGGGCUGUGGCGACUUCCGAUCCGCCUAGGCUCGAGAGGGGCCUUGUGCUGUUGCACUGAAGCCGGGUAGGCUCCUGAGGUUCGCCGUGGGCCGGGGAUCUCCGUCCCGUCUUCCGCGGCCUCCCCCACCUGCAGACAGCGUUUGCUCCCAGUCGGGUCGGAGGUGUCAGUCGCCCACGCCUCCAUCUCCUCCAGCUCUGGGCCCUCUGCACCCUCCUCCCAUCCCGGGCCCGCCUUCUGGCGGGGUGGGGUGGGGUGUGCCCCUGACUGGCACUCCAGGUGUCCUUCACUUGCGGAACACGGCGGCUGUGGGCCGAGCCGGGAACCGUGUACCAGUCUGGCCUCCCUUGAGUGUGUGGAGCCCCCUUUACAGCAGAACAGAGUAGCGACUGUGGAGUUGGCCCCUGUAGACUAAUGAUGUUCUAACUUUCUAAAGAAGUGGAAACUCCAUUUCCUGAGCCCAGUAGAAAGCCCACAGGAGUCAGGGCCUGGUUUUAUCUGGGGGAGAUGUAGCCACUCAGGCCCAGUCUGGCCCCCACGCCCCCUGAAGGGUGAAAAACGCUGGACUUCCUGGACUCUGGAUUCCCUCCAUCUCUGGCUGGCGGACAGCACGAGUUCUUGGAAGCUUGUGUGAGGCUCUAGACAUUCCUCCACAGGAAGUGUGGUCUGUGGUCCAACAUCAACAACUUCUGGCAUCUUUCCAGUCAACUUCCUCACUCUCUCUCCUUCCCAGAGAGAAUCAUAUUCUCAUUAGUCUUCCGAGGAUGAAGACAUCCUUGGAAAGAGCCCUCACCUCAAAUUGGCCAGAGUUGUUACUGGACUUGGAGCCAUGCCUCUGGAAGGUUCCUUACCUUGUCACGCUGAGGUUCUGAUGAAUUACUGAAACAGGGAAGAAGUUCCAUAAAGUUACCAGACUCUCAAAGAUGUCCUCCAUGCAGGAAGGUUACAAGGCCAAUAUGUGAUAGACAAUCUCAGUCAAUAUCCUAGAAAAAGGACAAAGACCAACUGAUGACCUCGGAUCGGAGGCUUCCUGUUCAGGUGGGCAGCUACAAGAUGAUAGAGACUCCGGCAGCCAGGGUGGCUGUGUACAGUGGAGCUCCUGACACGCUCACUUGGAUAUCUAAUGAAUACACUUUCAUUUGCAAAUAAGAAAACAGCUUCAGAGAAGAGAAGUGGCACGCUCAAAGCCUCGUAGAGUCAUUGUCAGAGAUGGGAUUCUGCUCUUGUUGGCCUCAUG